rnacentral:rRNA from 1 species
CAUAUCAAUAAGCGGAGGAAAAGAAACCAACAGGGAUUACCUUAGUAACGGCGAGUGAAGCGGUAAGAGCUCAAAUUUGAAAUCUGGCGCAGUAAAAUGUGUCCGAGUUGUAAUUUGAAGAUGGUAACUUUGGCUUUGGCCCUUGCCUAUGUUCCUUGGAACAGGACGUCACAGAGGGUGAGAAUCCCGUGCGGCGAGGUGAUCCAUUGCUAUGUAAAGUACUAUCGAAGAGUCGAGUUGUUUGGGAAUGCAGCUCUAAGUGGGUGGUAAAUUCCAUCUAAAGCUAAAUAUUGACGAGAGACCGAUAGCGAACAAGUACAGUGAUGGAAAGAUGAAAAGAACUUUGAAAAGAGAGUGAAAUAGUACGUGAAAUUGUUGAAAGGGAAGGGCAUUAGAUCAGACUUUGAAUUUAGUGAUCAACUUGCCUUUUUGGCUGGUGCACUCGCUGCUUUCUAGGUCAACAUCAGUUUGAAUGGCAGGAUAAUGGUGAAGGAAUGUGGCUCUCCUCUUUGAGGCGAGUGUUAUAGCCUUUACUGAUACUGCCUGUUUGGACUGAGGAACGCGGUUUUAUUACCAAGGAUGUUGACAUAAUGAUCUUAUGCCGC